CUCGAUGCUCCGCCGCUCGCGGCUGGGGGGUCCGGGGCCGCGUCUCCUCUCCUCCCUCCGCCUCUCCUCUUUCCUCCUUCCUGCUGCCUCUUCUUUUAAAGCGGAUUCUUUGGCCACAAAUAGCAACUCGGCUGCCCCCCUCGGUGCCUCCCUCCCCUUCUCUUCUUCCCCCCAAAAGUGAAGCGCACGCGAGGAGCUGAAAAGCUGUGCAGGGAUGAUGGACCCUUGCCCCCUGUGACCUAAGGAUGGAUCCAGAAAUCUCAGCCUCCCCAUAGGUAAAGAAACGAAGACCCUGAGAAUUUAAAAUCAUCCAACUAUUUGGUGCCAGAAGCAGGACAAGAACUCAGACAUCAUGAUCCAGUGCCCUCCAUCCCACCAGCUAUUCAUCAUCACCUCCACAUUCUGGAUCAAAGAAGCCAGUUUUCCAACUUAUCAAUGAGCAAUACAUAUAGAAUAUUUUUAAAACUCCAAAUACUUUUAUGAAGGAAAAAUGAAGCAAUAGGACAAGACAUUUUCUUCGUUUCCUUCCAGCUCUAACAUUCUGUGAUAAAUAGCACACAGGAGCUUUGCUAUAGCACUACCCCCUCUAGUGCAUAAUUCAGCAUACGAUGAGUAUGAGUCUGUUUUGGACCCCAUCCAAAGGAGUUAGUUCCUAGAAGUACUUGGAAGAUUUAUUCUCAUUUAUCAUGAGGCAUCCUAACAGGAGACUAAAAAUAAUCACGAUGACAAUAAUAGUAAUCAGUUGUUACACUUGUAUUAUGUACUAAGCAUCGUGCUAAGCAUGUUAAAGUUCACCUGUUUUUGAAAAGGCACUUCAUGACCUUAUGUGGGUUGCGAAUCUAGUGGGUCAUAAACAAUUUCUGAAAUGAAAGAAAAGUAGGAAAAAACACAGAGUGCAUUAUACAUACUAAGUUGUUUUAUUUUUUAUUUUUUUAUUUUUUUUGCAAAACUUCCUUUUUGAUCAUGUGGCUAGUGAUUAAAAGUUUGGAAGCACUGCCUCGUUUCCAAUCUUAACUGCCUUGCUAGUUAAGUAUUAUUAGCCCCAUUAUAUAAGUGAGGAAACAGGACGAGAGAGGAUAAGUAAUUUGGCCAAGCUGACACAGUGAGUGGCCAAGCUAGAAUUUUGAACCUAGAUCUGUUUGACUUCAAAUCCAAUAUUUUCACUUCUAUAGUGAUGAUAAAUUAUUGACCAAGGUAUGGAAUAAAUUGUUGCUAAUCAUGUUUUCUUUGUGAGGACUACUGGGGUUUUUAUUAAAUCCAGCUAAAUGGAGAAACACAGCAUAGAUUCAAGUGACAUGUUCGGAAGAGAGUGAGGAAUUUCAUAAAACACUAAAUCUAAUAUCUAAGACCUUUUCCUGUAGGUGUUAGCUUAUGUCUAAUACACUUUAUUGACUUACUGCUAAAUACAUAAAUGAAACAAUAAUAGUUUCAGUCCUCAAAUAACAAUAUUCACUUCUACGUGUGUUUCUAUUUUUAUUUCAGAGAGUAUUUUUCAAAUUUAAGUUAUACAGCAUUUCUCAGUAGCUUGCUUUGGCCAAACACAGAACUAGCACAUAAGAAAGCUAAAAGGCCAGGCACUGUGGCUCACACCUGUAAUCCCAGCACUUUUGGAGGCCAAGGCAGGCAGAUCACUUGAGGUCAGGAGUUUGAAAUCAGCCUGGCCAACAUGGUGAAACCCGUCUCUACUAAAAAUACAAAAAUUAUCUGGGCGUGGUGGCACGUGUCUGUAAUCCCAGCUACUCGGGAGGCUGAGACAGGAGAAUUGCUUGAACCCAGGAGGUGGAGGUUGAAGUGAGCCGAGAUCACGCCAUUGCACUCCAGACUGGGCAACAGAGCCAGACUCUGUCUCAAGAAUAAAUUAAAAAGCAGCCAGACAACCCUAUCAUUCAAAUUCAAUUGUAAAGAAGAAAAGAAGAUAUUAAUUAAGGUGCCAUGCUAAAUUUUUUGACCCAUGUAGUUCUAUGGAUUCUACCAGUAACAUUGCAUGCUUAGGUGUCAUUACUCCCAUUCUGCAGAUUUGAAAGCUCAAACUCAGAACUAGCUGAUGAUUGAAAUCACCUGUUCUGAUUCCACUACCCAAAGAUUCUUUACAAACAAGUGGGCUUCCAGUAGAAAAGGAGGCAGCUGGAGAUUUUGAGACAUGUUGUGCAAUCAUUUAUGCUUUCUUUUUCCACGUGAAAAAAAUACACUUUCCUUUUCUUCAAGGCAGCAUCUCUUCUUGCUGUUAGGCAGCACUGUCCUCUUUAAGAAAAGAAAUCCACAUCUUCAUGGAUGAAAUUGGAAACCAUCAUUCUCAGUAAACUAUCGCAAGAACAAAAAAGCAAACACCGCAUAUUCUCACUCAUAGGUGGGAAUUGAACAGUGAGAUCACAUGGACACAGGAAGGGGAACAUCACACUCUGGGGACGGUUGUGGGGUGGUGGGGGGGAGGGAGAGCAUCGGGAGAUAUACCUAAUGCUAGAUGACGCGUUAGUGGGUGCAGCGCACCAGCAUGGCACAUGUAUACGUAUGUAACUAACCUGCACAAUGUGUACAUGUACCCUAAAACUUAAAGUAUAAUAAUAAUAAAAAAAAGAAAUCCACAUCUUUCAUAAAGAAAGGCCUAGAAAAGCCAUACCUCCUCCACUGACUGCUCUGUUCAGCUGCUGCACUUCACCCUCACCUGCAGUGUGUAGAGGACGUUAUGGUACAAUGCUAUUUGCUACUGGCUCUGCUACUGGAGAUUACAGCAUGCGACUGUGACAAUACUGGCUCUGCUACUGGAGAUCACAGCAUGCGACUGUGACAAAUGGAUAUUCCCAUUAAAUUCUUUAGUAGACUGGGGCAUUCCAUUAACCAUUGGCACUAUCCCAACCCAAGUGAAACACUGGGUCAUUUUUUUCUUGUGAGCAAGAAGUGAAGGGAGAAAACAAAGGAUAUACUCUAAUUACCUUUCCUAUUUCUUUUUUGUUGCAUGCAUUAUGAUAACUGUAUAUUACACUUAUUUAUAAUUAAUAUAUGACAAGCUGUCAGCUAAAAUUUAACAGGUGAUUUGUCAAGAAGGCCCAUUAAUGCAUACAUUAAGCAGUGGAUUUCAGUGUUUCCUAACAAAAUUGUGUAUUGGUUUUGUUUUUUCAUUCUAUUUAGUAUAAACAUUUUGAGGCCACCUAUCUUUACAUUUUGCAGCAUUUUUAAAAAAUAAAACUAUUGCUAACAUAAAUGGGUGCAUUGUUAGUUAUAUGAGGUAUAAACACAUUUCUGUCACCUUAACCUCUAAAUUUGUUUCACUGAGGAAACAAAUUGCCUAGUGUUUAUUUUAAAGUUUUAACUUUCAUGGGUUUUGAUACAUUUUUUAAAUUAUAUCUUCAGUAGGAAAGGCAGAGCUGAUUAGGGAGGAAAGCAACUGCAGUUACUUAUGUUCCAUUUAGUGUUUGUAUCUUAGGUAAGAAAAUUCUGAAAUGAAGGAAUAUUUUAAAAUACAGAAAAAGAUUAAGAAGUCACCAGAAAGCUAGUAGUUAAUCAUUGAAUAAAGGAACACUCUACAGAGACCAAAAACUGAUGAAACAGGCUCCAUCUUGCUGAAUGGCGCAAGAAUGGGAAACACAAUGGAAAUGAAUCACAGAUAGUUGUGAGGAGGAUUCUUUGAAAGAAGGAAAACUCUGUUUCUCUAUCUGUAGGAUGUCAAAUCAUGGGACAUAACCUGAAAAGGAAGUUAAAUUUUGAACUUCAAUAUUAUUAUUUCCAUGGUCAACCAAAAUUUGUACUGUUUAAGAGAAAGAUACAAAAGUACUGCAGCAUUUGUUUAAAAUUUCAUUUGCACAAGCCUGACUCUUAUCUCUCAAGACUCGGACAUGCUUCAGGCAGUUAAUGACUCACAAUCCACUACUCUAGAGGGUGCUGAAUCUCCUUAAUGAAAGAAUGUGCUUUAAGAUUCAAUGGUUAGGAAGAGAGAAAUAAACGAGAGUAAAACACGAAGCACAGCAGUUUUUCAAAGCUAGUAAGACUUCUGCGUCCACCAACCAACUUUAGCUCUUACAUUUUUAGAAAGAAAGCACUAACACAGAACCAUGAAAUUAUUUUUAAAGGUUCUUUCUAACAGGGUUUCAGAGGAUGGUUUCCAAAAAACUCACUCAGAAGUGAAAUACCACACGUUGAUUUUCACGUUGCAGGGAGCGCAUUCCUAUGCAGUUCAGGGAUUAUAAAUGACCAGUGGCAAGUUGGUCAUUGUAUCCUGGGCCAGGAUCUCACUGUCUCCAGAUCUUGCUUUGUUUUCCAUAUGCAGCAGAGUCCCCAUGAGUAACUGGGGGUGUUUCCUUGUGCAUUCAGUAACAGUUUUCAAAACAGUGAAUAUAGCAAGGCAUCAAGACUACUAUAUUUCUGCCACUUUUCUAAUGUUUUCUCUUUGUCUUAUACUUCUGUUCUUGUCUUACACUUGUAUUAAAAACACAAUAAAGAAAACAGCUUUGUACAAGCUAGUAUUUUGGCCAUAAUUAUACUUUUCUCUGUCUUCUCAAUGAAUAAGAAAAUUUUGGGCCA
rnacentral:lncRNA from 1 species